rnacentral:rRNA from 1 species
ACGGUUAAAUUUCUUGGAACAGAAUGUCAAAGAGGGUGAGAGUCCCGUCUUGAACCGAUUACUUCGUCCAUGUGAAACUCCUUCGACGAGUCGAGUUGUUUGGGAAUGCAGCUCAAAAUGGGUGGUAAAUUUCAUCUAAAGCUAAAUAUUGGCCAGAGACCGAUAGCGCACAAGUAGAGUGAUCGAAAGAUGAAAAGCACUUUGAAAAGAGAGUUAAACAGUAUGUGAAAUUGUUGAAAGGGAAGCGCUUGCAAUCAGACUUGAGCUUAACGGUUCCCCCUUCGUUCUCGAUGGGUUAUUCCGUUUUGUCCAGGCCAACAUCAGUUCGGGUGGUUAGUUAAAGACUUUAGGAAUGUAUCUACCCUCCGGGGUCGACUUAUAGCCUAGAGUGUCAUGUAGCCUACCUGGACUGAGGAACGCGCUUCGGCUCGGAUGUUGGCGUAAUGGUUGUAAGCGACCCGUCUUGAAACACGGACCAAGGAGUCUAACAUCUAUGCGAGUUUUAGAGUUUCAAACUCUGAGGCGUAAUGAAAGUGAACGGAGGUAAGAAGCCUUUAGGCUGCAUUAUCGACCGAUCUUGAUGUCUUCGGAUGGAUUUGAGUAAGAGCAUAGCUGUUGGGACCCGAAAGAUGGUGAACUAUGCCUGAAUAGGGUGAAGCCAGAGGAAACUCUGGUGGAGGCUCGCAGCGGUUCUGACGUGCAAAUCGAUCGUCAAAUUUGGGUAUAGGGGC